GCGCCCCGCCUCCUUUACUGACAGGUUGCCCUCCUCCCCAAACCCCAACGCGCUUCGCAGUAGACGGACAGAGGAGUCGAAGCGGUCGAAGGUUUUGCGGCUCCGGCGUGCCGGAAAGCAUGUUAUGCAUAAAAGUGGAUAAUUUACAUGGUAAAUGAAAAUGGCCAAUUCUUUAAGAGGAGAAGUACUAAAACUUUAUAAAAAUCUGCUGUAUCUUGGACGAGACUAUCCAAAAGGAGCAGACUAUUUUAAAAAGCGUUUGAAGAACAUUUUCCUUAAAAACAAAGAUGUGAAGAAUCCAGAGAAGAUCAAAGAACUUAUUGCACAGGGCGAAUUUGUAAUGAAAGAGCUAGAAGCCUUGUACUUCCUUAGGAAAUACAGAGCUAUGAAACAACGCUAUUAUUCAGAUACCAACAAAACUAAUUGAUCAUUACUACUUUAAUUUAGCUGACAAACAGCCAUUGAUCAUUACUACUUUAAUUUAGCUGACAAUCAGUGCCAGCUGUUUAUGUGUACCAGAUAAUGUGAAUUAAUUCUAACUUAAAAUGGGAAGAUAUACAUAUUGUGUAAAAAAUCCCUGAGCUGCCCUACUGAACUAAAUAGGUUUCAACUUCUGUUCAUGCUGAGAAAUUAUCAGCAACUUAAUGCUCAAUUUUGAUACAAACAUAGCAAUUUAGCUAUACUACCGAUUAUAAAUUAAUGAACACCCAAUUUUGAAUGAAAAUACAAUACACUUAAUCCUGUAACUUAAUAGGACUUAGCCAAUUAUUUUUAGCUUAUUUCUCCAUUUUACUGACAAGAGAAUGCCAUUUACUGAAUAUUUAAUCAGCAAAAUAAUUUCUUAUUUCUCUUAACUUUUGAAAGGAAUCCCUUUUUUUUUUCACCCAAUUUGAUACAUUAACAGCACAUACUCAAGGUUCACUCCAAAACAAAGUUUCUGACAAUGAUUUAAAUGUAGUUAUAGAAAUAAUAUGUGUGGAGUUAUUCUGACUUUGAAAUAGCCUGCUGGUGACUGGCAUUACAUACAUAACUAUUCAAUUAUUUCCAUUAUUAAUGUUGCUGCUGCUACCUUUGGGCCUAAAACCAAGUCAUCUGUUGUGUAUCAAUUACCUUCUUUGAUAAAAGGAAAUAAAUAAUGUUAUCUAUUA